rnacentral:rRNA from 1 species
CCUACGGGGGGCAGCAGUGGGGAAUAUUGCACAAUGGGGGAAACUCUGAUGCAGCGACGCCGCGUGAGUGAAGAAGUCUCUCGGUAUGUAAAGCUCUAUCAGCAGGGAAGAAAAUGACGGUACCUGCCUAAUCAGCCCCGGCUAACUCCGUGACAGCAGCCGCGGUAAUACGUAGGGGGCAAGAGUUAUCCGGAUUUAAUGGGUGUAAAGGGAGCGUAGACGGCGCUGCAAGUCCGGAGUGAAAGCCCAGGGCUUAACCAUGGGACUGCUCUGGAAACUGUGGAGCUUGAGUGCGGGAGGGGCAGGCGGAAUUCCUAGUGUAGCGGUGAAAUGCGUAGAUAUUAGGAGGAACACCGGCGGCGAAGGCGGCCUGCUGGACCGUAACUGACGUUGAGGCUCGAAAGCGUGGGGAGCAAACAGGAUUAGAUACCCGGGUAGUC